AUGCGUAGAAGAAAAUGGCCUGGUAAUCCUUGUUGCUCCUUCUGCAACGAGGUUGAGAGUUCACAACACCUGUUUUUCACCUGCCCUGUGGCGAAAUGUCUGUGGAGAUCCGUUUGGGUCGUGCUGGGUACUGAUAGAUGUCCCAGCAGUUAUUGGCAGUACUAUGCGUGGUGCCAUUCUUUUCUUCCUGGGGGAGAGAAAUUUUAUACAGUGGGCCUUGCAGCUGCUUGCUGGGCUAUCUGGCUGGCUCGAAAUCGAGCCACUUUUGAGAAGAAAAUGAUCAAAACUCCUUUUGAGAUUGUCUUUUCCAGGUGUUCUUUCUUGCUUUAUUGGACAGGUCUACAACAAGGAGAUGAUGCUAAUAAGCUACGGGCAGGCGCAGAGCAGAUCAGGAGGUCUACAACAAGGAGAUGA
rnacentral:rRNA from 1 species